UACGUAGGGUGCAAGCGUUUGUCCGGAAUUAUUGGGCGUAAAGAGCUCGUAGGUGGUUUGUCGCGUUGUUCGUGAAAACUCACAGCUCAACUGUGGGCGUGCGGGCGAUACGGGCAGACUAGAGUAGCUGCAGGGGAGGACUGGAAUUCCUGGUGUAGCGGUGGAAUGCGCAGAUAUCAGGAGGAACACCGGUGGCGAAGGCGGGUCUCUGGGCAUGUCCUGACGCUGGAGGAGCGAAAGUGUGGGGAGCGAACAGG
rnacentral:rRNA from 1 species